GAUUAUGGCUCAGAACGAACGCUGGCGGCGCGUUUAAGCAUGCAAGUCGAGCGGCAAGGGCCUUCGGGCCCCUAGAGCGGCGGACGGGUGAGUAACACGUGGACAAUCUGCCCCCCGGCCCGGGAUAGCCCAGGGAAACCUGGAUUAAUACCGGAUGAGACGGGACCCGCGAAGGCGGGACCGGAAAGGCGCUGCGGCGCCGCCGGGGGAUGAGUCUGCGUCCCAUUAGCUAGACGGCGGGGUAACGGCCCACCGUGGCGACGAUGGGUAGCCGGCCUGAGAGGGUGGACGGCCACAUUGGAACUGAGACACGGUCCAGACUCCUACGGGAGGCAGCAGCUAAGAAUCUUCCGCAAUGGGCGAAAGCCUGACGGAAGCGACGCCGCGUGAACGAAGAAGGCCGUGAGGUUGUAAAGUUCUUUUCGGGAGGGGGAACAACCGUGGCAGGGAAUGGCCGCGGGAUGACGUGAAUCCCGGAAUAAGCCCCGGCUAACUACGUGCCAGCCGCCGC
rnacentral:rRNA from 1 species